GACUCUGAAAAACAAAGAUAAAAGAAAACCAAAAACCAUUUCUUGGCUGGAUUGAAGAGAUUCUAUGGAGAUCCAAGUGAAAUCAAAGCCAAAGAAGUGGAUUAAGCUUAGUUCUGGCCUUUUUAUGAUAUUUCUUGGUGGUUUCCAAGUGGUUUGAGGUUUAGAAAAGCUAGAAGAGUUUGUUUUCGCCGAAAAGUUGCUCGGAUAAGCACAUCAACACCUAAGACACCACUUGUUACACGGUGAAAUAUAUUUUGGACAGAAGGUAAGUAAAGUACUCAACUUCAAC